rnacentral:rRNA from 1 species
UACGGAGGGUGCAAGCGUUAAUCGGAAUUACUGGGCGUAAAGCGCACGCAGGUGCUGAGUCAGUCGAUUGUGAAAGCCCUGGGCUUAACCUGGGAAUUGCAGUCGAUACUACUCAGCUAGAGUAUGGGAGAGGGUAGUGGAAUUCCCGGUGUAGCGGUGAAAUGCGUAGAUAUCGGGAGGAACAUCGAGUGGCGAAGGCGGCUACCUGGCCCAAUACUGACACUCAGGUGCGACAGCGUGGGA